rnacentral:antisense_RNA from 1 species
CUGCCUGGUGGGAGGAAAAGGAAAGAGAGCUGGCAGGCAGAGGCCUGGAACUCUCAACCCCUCUCCGGGAAAUGCCUCAGACAUAUUUCAGCCUCUGGUGUCUGGGCAGUCGGGGAUUUAUGGGCCAGCCGUCUCCCACGAUGAUCUCGGUGGUGCUGAACUGUGUGUCACCCCAGCUGGCACUGUGGCUGCCCUCCCAGUGGGGAGGCCUCCUGCAGCCUGGGCCACAUCUGGAGCCUCGCCCAGUGUGGAGAAACUGAGGCCCACAGAGACAUGGGGCCAUGCCAGCUAGUGGAGGCAUAGCCAACGGAGCUGGGCUCUCCAGGGCUGUGCUAACAGAGCCACAGCUCUCCCACCCCAGCUUGCAUGUGGAACCCACCGAGGCCCGAAGGGGCUGGCCUGCCCAAGUUCACGGCUCUGCCGCAAGCUUGCUGCAGAUCACCAUCUCCUCCAUUCCUGGCCCCAACUCCCCUUGCAUAUGGAGCAAGGAAAGAUCUUUUGAAUGCUGAACAGGCCUGAGACACCUUCCUGAAGGAAAGCUGUCCUUGGAUCCAGGCAUUGUGACCUUGUUACUUCAUUUGUCCUUCAUGACCACCUGUCUAGGGCCUUCAUCAACCUAUUUUACAGAUGAGCCCUCUUGGAUGAUCAGUAAAUGGCAGCAUUUGGAUGUGACCCUGGUCUCUCUGAGCUUAGCUCUGGACUCCCCUCCCUCGUGCCCCUCUCAAACAAGCAAGAAGAAGGCAGGAGAGUAAGUUCUAAUCCUGGCUGUGCCACUGACUGCCCAUGUGGUCACAAUGAAGUCUUUUCCCUCUCAGCACCUCUGUUGCUAUACCUGCACAACGAGGAGCUUUGCUUGGCCAGGAAGAGGGCACGAUAGGUACAGAGUGCAGAUAUUUCUGGGCCCAUAGACAAAGAAGGGUAGGAGGAGGGGAGCAAUGGUGGACCCUCUUGGUUGACACAUCUAAACAAUAAUAUGGAGCCUGAGAAAGCCAAAUACCAGCUUCCCAGCUUCCUCUGCAGCCAGGCAUGGCCAUCUGACUGAGUUCAAACUGAUGGGACAUUUUGUAUAAGUCUUAUGAGAGGUUCUAGAGAUGCUUUUGCUUUCUUGAUAAAGAGCCAUUUGCAGCUGGCACUUCCCCUGUCCCCUCCAGUCUUGAACAUGGAUGUGAUGCCUGGAGCUAUGGCAGCCAUCUUGCAGCUGUGAGGCUCAGAGAGUCCCAGAGAUAACACUUGGAACAGUGUUGAGCCCCUGGACCAAUACAGCAGCUGCCUAGCUCCAGGCUUCCUGUUGAGUGAGGAAAAACAAGCACCAUGUUUUCAAUGAGUAGUUCUGAAUGAUACAAGCAGGGCUGGUAGACAUCCCCACAGUUAUACCAAUUUUUUUGCCAUAAACAAUAUUACCAUAUUUUGUCUAUUUCCCCUGGAUACAGGGGACCAAUAACAACACAAGAGGGGCCAGGGGCCCAGGGGGAAGGAACCAGAUGGGGAGGGGUGAGGACUCAUGAAGUUAGGAGCUGGGGAAGGAGGCUCUGCAAUAGUGGAAACAAGCGGGAGCCGUACUGUCCAGUCUCAGGGGUCCCGAGAGUGGGCAAGGGUGUAGCCAAUGGAGAAGGAGCUGGAGAAGACCAUUCAUGGGGGGGGGGGGCAGGACAAACUGGUGGGAUGGAGGAAGGAGACUGCAAAGACUGAGGCUGCAAAGACUCCCCUUUGCCCUCAGUGGACCCACUCCCACAGCCCAGCUGACCUCCGAUGUAGGCCACGGAGAAGCCCCUGCGGGUGGUGCUGCGGUCUGUGUGCAGCAGAAGCAGAAGCUGGUUGUGGCUUGAGGUGAUGGGUGGUGGCAGGUGGUGUCCACACCAAUUCCCCAGCAGGGGUGCCUCCUCGCUGGCCCCAUCGAAGGCCGCCAGAUGGUCAAAGUCACAGGUCUUGGUCAGGCUGUUGGGCUCCUCCAGGUCCAGGUCCAGGAAGAACACCUUGACCUGGUAGCCUGGGGGCAGGCGGAUGGUCCAGUGGCAGCGGAUGUUGUUGGGGUAGGAGCUGGGGUACUGUGGGCUGGAGAAGUUGCCCCGCAAGGCCAUGUAUACCUCCUGGCAUUCUCCUGGGUGGGGGAUGGGGAGGUGGAAGGAGCAACAGUGAGGGGAGAGGAGAAGUCACCCUCUGCAGCUACAGCUUAGGCAGCAGGUGCCACAGUGGUCCAAAAACCACCAGCAGGUUGUGGGCACCAUGGCUAGCACACCAGACAAUUGAUCCCAACUAUCUGAAAGUUGGGAUGCUUGAUCCCAAAGCUUGUUUUAAACUGCAACAAGCUGAAAGCUGGGACUUGCAUUCCAGUUGACAGUCCCCUUCACAGGUGUAGGCCCUGUUAGGAAUUCAAUAAUAAUACACAAUACCUGUCCUCAGAGUUACCUCUGAACUCCCUGGCUUGACAGAUGAUGUGGUUCAUGCCUGGCCUUUCCCCUUUUCUCACUGCCCCAUUUGGUAUGUACUAUGCGCAUACCAAACACUCUCUGCCCUCCAGGCCUUUGCACAUGCUGUUCCUCCUGCUUGGAACACCCUUCCCUUCUGCUUCCGUCUAACUCCUUCAGGGUACUGCUCAAUUCUCUUCUCCACGAAGUCAUCCAUGAUUCUUACUGAUGGAUAGCACAGAUCAUAAUGGCUUGCACUGUCUCUUUCCUUAUAAUCUCUCUAACUAGACUGUAAAGUUCCCACAACUUCAUCCACUCAUUUUACGAAUAUUGAGUACCUACUAUGUGCCAGGUGCAAAGAUAAGCCCAUAAGCGACUCAGUCAGACAGGAGAGAUUGACAUGCAAACCACACACAGAAGUGACAAAUGUUAGAUCAUAGUGUAAAAAACUUAUAUAAGGAGUUGAAAAAGGGAUUAAUUCUGGUAAAACAGUAAGUCUUCGCAGAGGUGACAUGCUUAUGUCUUGGCAUCAGCCAAGGGUAUGCUAGAGCAUUCCAGGCAGAGAGAGUGCAGAAAGCCCAAGGCUGCUGGGGGGCAGAAAGGUGUGACCCCUGCAAGUGUAAUGGGGAGACAAGAGCCCAGUAGGCACAGGAGGAUUCAGGGUGGAGCGCCAGCCCCUCCUACCUGAGAAGUAGUAGGCCUUGAAGCCACGGCCUCCGAUGUUGAAGUCGGACUUGAAGACCACCUGCAGUUCGUGGCCCAGAGACACGAGGGUGGGGGGCCUGGUGCUGCCACAGUAGUGGUGCCCACGGGUGGGGCCAGGCCCCCCAAGCACAGCCACGUAGUCAUAGGUGCACUCUUCAUUGCCCUCCACCUGGAAGUCCACGAACACCAGCUUGACGUGGGCAGGGCCGGCGGCCCGGAUCACCCAGUGGCACUCCAUGCUGUUCGGGUAGUUGUUGGGGUACUCAGGACUGGUGAGGACCCCCGACAGGCCAGUCAGGACGCCGCCACACACAUCUGCAAGGGAGCCCACUUGAACUGAGCUUUCUUUCUCCUUGUGGCUCCCAAUUUCCUCCCUUGGGAACAAGACACUCCAACAUGCUGCCCCCACAGGUAUCUCAUUAGGGCCUCAUUACCAUCCGACAAGCACCUGCUACCCAAGUAGCAAGUGUAGCACGUGCUCAGGCAUAGCACUUGGCACCUAUGCUGCCUGUUCAAAUCCUCAGAGUAGCUGCACAAGGACUGUGCUGCAGUUUCUCUGAUUUUAUAAUUAAGAAAAGGGAGGUAAAGACAAGUUCAGUAGCUUACUUGAGUUUGAGUUCACCCAGGCAGAUCUUGAGAUAAGGAUUUGAGUGCAAGGAGUUUACUUGGGAGAUCCAGGGGCCCCCAGGUGGGGAGGGAGGGAGAGGACAGAGAAGGGGAGGUGUGUUCAAGUCAGCUGCUUACCUGGGGAGGAACUCUGGGGACGGGGUAAAGCACAUACUUCAGAGUUCUGUCAAUCUAGGAGCAAGGGAGCUGCGGCAUUUAUAUGCCAACUCCCCAGAGUGCAGGCAGAGGGCUGCUGUGGGCUGCGAGUACCCUACUGAGACUUCAGAAAAAAGCCCUCCAGCAAAGAACUGUGGAGGUUGGCAGAAGCACAUCGAAGUGGCAGGGCCCAGGGAACGUGGUCAGGGCCCUGAGAGCAGGUCACCCGACCGGUAACUGGGAAAGUGGGAUUUGAACCCAGGAAGACUAACUAUGCAUCCUGUGCACUUGACCCUUGUGACCUUCACUGUCCACUCCUACGAGGCCAGUGGGGCACAGAGGCUGAGGUGCCUGAGCUCAGGAAUGUGAUCAAACCUCCCUAACGGAUGAGGAAACCAAGACUUAGAGAGAGGACCUGAUGAAGUAGAGCUUGGUUUGACAUCUGAAGACAAGUAGUCUCCCAUCUCUGCCUUUUAUUAGCUGUGUGACUCUGGGGAAGUAACCCAGCCUCUCUGAGCCUCAUUGGAACAUUAGAAAUCAUAAGACUGAACCAGCUUGAUCCACUGGGCUCAGACUUGAGCACAGUCUGAAAAUAUGCUGCUGGAAACUCUCAGGAAGCCAGCUUGGCCAGUACAACUACAUGGCAAGUGUGGGUGAAUGCCGCGACUUGCUGGAGGUCACCAGCAGGGAGGACAUAUGUGGGAUGUGUUUCCUGAGACUCCAGCAUCUCGCCCUAUGGCACGGCUGUGUGACCAGGGCUCUGGAUGGGGCGUCUAAGGACUUGGCGUCUUUUCCCAGUGCUGGCCCAGCCAUGUAACUUUAGGAAGGCCCUCUCAGGGACUCAGAUUUUGUGAAAUGAGAGGGCAGGUUUAGAUAGCCUGUGAGAUCCGUUCCAACACUAACAACCUUUGCAGAGACUUCCCAACUGUGCCCUUGGGGCUCCCCAGCAGCCCCCUGGAGCACCUGCUGGCACCUGGUGCAAAUUUCAUUCUUAUGCUGUAUUUCAAGCUCUCUUUUAAUGUAAUGAAGAGAUAGCACCCACAGACUUUAAUAUCUUUAACAAGAUAUUAAAAUUUAAAUAUUCUACAUUUAAAAAUUUAA